GACGAACGCUGGCGGCGUGCUUAACACAUGCAAGUCGAACGGAAAGGCCCUGCUUUUGUGGGGUGCUCGAGUGGCGAACGGGUGAGUAACACGUGAGUAACCUGCCCUUGACUUUGGGAUAACUUCAUGAAACUGGGGCUAAUACCGGAUAGGAUCUCCUGCUGCAUGGUGGGGGUUGGAAAGUUUCGGCGGUUGGGGAUGUACUCGCGGCUUAUCAGCUUGUUGGUGGGGUAGUGGCUUACCAAGGCUUUGCAGGGUAGCCGGCCUGAGAGGGUGACCGGACAAAUUGGGACUGAGAUACGGCACAGCCUACAACGGGAGGCAGCAGUGGGGAAUAUUGCACAAUGGGCGGAAGGCUGAUGCAGAAACGCCGCGUGCGGGAUGACGUCAUUGCGGUUGUAAACCGAUUUCGCCUGUGACGAAGAGUGAGUGACGGUAAUGGGUAAAGAAGCACCGGCUAACUACGUG
rnacentral:rRNA from 1 species